rnacentral:rRNA from 1 species
GAGUAAAGAUUUCGGUCGCUUUGGGAGGAGCUCGCUUACUAUCAGCUUGUUGGUAGGGUAAUGGCCUACCAAGGCUAUGACGGUUAGGGGGUGUGAGAGCAUGACCCCCAGCAUUGGCACUGAAACACUGGCCAAACACCUACGGGUGGCUGCAGUCGAGAAUCUUCCACAAUGGGGGAAACCCUGAUGGAGCGAUGCUGCGUGCGGGAUGAAGGCCUUCGGGUUGUAAACCGCUUUUGUAGGGGACGAAAUUUUUGACGGUACCCUUUCGAAUAAGAGGUUGCUAACUCUGUGCCAGCAGCAGCGGUAAUACAGGGACCUCAAGCGUUAUCCGGAUUUACUGGGCGUAAAGCGUCUGUAGGGGGUUUAUUAAGUUCCAAGUAAAAUUUCAAGGCUCAACUUUGAAUUCGCUUGGAAAACUAAUAAACUGGAGUCUAGCAGAGGUGCAUGGAACUUGUGGUGUAGGAGUGAAAUCCGUUGAUAUCACAAGGAACACCAAAGGCGAAGGCAUUGCACUGGGCUAGCACUGACCCUGAGAGACGAAAGCGUGGGGAGCAAAACGGAUUAGAUACCCGUGUAGUCCACGCCCUAAACGAUGAAUGCUAAAUGUUCGGGGAUUCGACCCCCUGGGUGUUACAGCUAACGCGUUAAGCAUUCCGCCUGGGUAGUACGGCCGCAAGGCUAAAACUCAAAGGAAUAGACGGGGAUCCGCACAAGCGGUGGAGCGUCUGGUUUAAUUCGACAGUAAGCGUGGUACCUCACCAGGGUUUGACAUCCCUUGACAGCCUUGGAAACAAGGUUUCCUUCGGGCAAGGUGACAGGUGCUGCAUGGUCGUCGUCAGUUCGUGCCGUGAGGUGUUCCGUUAAGUCGGGAAACGAACGAAACCCCUAUUGCAUGUUACAAUUUCUCAUGCAAGACUGCCCGGAUAUACUGGGAGGAAGGUGGGGAUGACGUCAGAUCUGCAUGGUCCUUAUACCCUGGGCGACACAGGCGCUACAAUGGCAGAGACAAAGGGUUGCAAAACCGCAAGGUGAAGCUAAUCCCAAAAACUUUGUCUAAGUUCGGAUUGAAGGCUGCAAUUCGCCUUCAUGAAGCUGGAAUCGCUAGUAAUCGUGAAUCAGCCACGUCACGGUGAAUAUGUUCCCGGAUCUUGUACUCACCGCCCGUCACACCAAGAGAGUUGGUAGCUCCCGAAG